rnacentral:rRNA from 1 species
CGGAGGGUGCAAGCGUUGUUCGGAAUUACUGGGCGUAAAGCGCGGGCAGGUGGUCCUUUAAGUCCUUUGUGAAAUCCCGGGGCUCAACUCCGGAUGUGCAUAGGAUACUGGAGGACUGGAGACUGGUAGAGGCGAGCGGAAUUCCUGGUGUAGCGGUGGAAUGCGUAGAUAUCAGGAAGAACACCGGUGGCGAAGGCGGCUCGCUGGGCCAGUUCUGACACUCAUCCGCGAAAGCGUGGGGAGCAAACAGGAUUAGAUACCCUGGUAGUCCACGCUGUAAACGAUGGGCACUAGAUGCCGGGCCUAUAGACGGGUUCGGUGUCGCGGCUAACGCAUUAAGUGCCCCGCCUGGGGAGUACGGCCGCAAGGCUG